rnacentral:rRNA from 1 species
AGUGAACGCUGGCGGUAGGCCUAACACAUGCAAGUCGAACGGCAGCACAGUAAGAGCUUGCUCUUACGGGUGGCGAGUGGCGGACGGGUGAGGCAUACAUCGGAAUCUACUUUUUCGUGGGGGAUAACGUAGGGAAGCUUACGCUAAUACCGCAUACGACCUACGGGUGAAAGCAGUGGUUCUUCGGACCUUGCGCGAUUGAAUGAGCCGAUGUCGGAUUAGCUAGUUGGCGGGGUAAAGGCCCACCAAGGCGACGAUCCGUAGCUGGUCUGAGAGGAUGAUCAGCCACACUGGAACUGAGACACGGUCCAGACUCCUACGGGAGGCAGCAGUGGGGAAUAUUGGACAAUGGGCGCAAGCCUGAUGCAGCCAUACCGCGUGGGUGAAGAAGGCCUUCGGGUUGUAAAGCCCUGUUGUUGGGAAAGAAAAGCAGCAGGUGAAAACCCCGCUGUUCUGACGGUACCCAAAGAAUAAGCACCGGCUAACUUCGUG